UAUCAUCAAGCCUGGACCCCUCUGGGGUCCUACGCUUGGACUUGGAUGUGCUGCCGGACGGCGACGCCCGGCUCAUCCCAAAUGCAUUAGCCGGACUUUGCUUCCCCCUCUGGGCUUUGGACUUUUGUUCUCACUCGGCGUGAUAAGGUCACCCGUCGAGGACGUCCCUCGCCUGCUGUUGGGAGCCUGGCUUCGAACCGUCCCCCCCCUCUCGGGACAAAUCGCUUUGACAAU
rnacentral:misc_RNA from 1 species